AUACUGUUUUUUGGAUUUGGGUGGCUUUUCUUCAUGCGCCAAUUGUUUAAGGACUAUGAGGUAACGUCGGUAUGUUGUACAGGUGAUCUUCUCUGAUAUUUGCAUUUUCUUGCACCAUGUUUGAGCUCAUCAUCUUUGAAAUCUUAGGAGUAUUGAAUAGCAGGAGCAUUAGUGCAACAUUGCUGUGCAAACUUGGACCAGGGCAGAGUGAGAUAGCAGAGGAGCUGUGCCAGCGUCUACAACGAAAGGAAAGGAUGCUGCAGGACCUUCUAAGUGAUCGAAACAACAAGUGGUGGAACAUGAAAUGGAGAUUCAAGGCCUGCUUCAGUCUUGAGCACCCAGGGAGCAGGAAAGCCAAAAGAGAGAAGAUGGUGCAAGCCUUAAUGGAAAGAAAUUCAGAAUUACAGGCCCUGCGCCAAUAUUUAGGAGGGAGAGACUCCCUGAUGUCCCAAGUACCUAACUCUAACCAACAAGCUGAAGUUACCUACAUUGGCCCCUGCUCUUGGAGAAAAGACUGA
rnacentral:lncRNA from 10 species